rnacentral:rRNA from 1 species
AGCAGCUGUCCAGCUGAAGUUAAGCAGUUUUGGGCCUGGCCAGUACUUGGAUGGGAGACCAACUAGGGAAACUGCUUUGCUGCUG